UACAGAGGUCUCAAGCGUUGUUCGGAUUUAUUGGGCGUAAAGGGUGCGUAGGCCGCAUGGUAAGUCUGGUGUGAAAUCCUGGAGCUCAACUCCAGAAUUGCACUGGAUACUGCCGUGCUAGAGGACUGGAGAGGAGAUUGGAAUUCACGGUGUAGCAGUGAAAUGCGUAGAGAUCGUAAGGAAGGCCAGUGGCGAAGGCGAGUUCCUGGACAGUGACUGACGCUGAGGCACGAAGGCCAGGGGAGCAAACGGG
rnacentral:rRNA from 1 species